GAGACGGAGACCUGCGGAGGGCGAGGGCUGGUUGGAGGUCGCUGUCCUUUCUGGGAACCAAGCAGGGGUCGCAGGAGGGCGGGGAUGGGUCAGCGGGGAUCUCUGAGUGGGGUUCGGCUGAGAGAGGCCACAGUUUCAUCUUUGGGAAGCUACCCUGGGCCGGCCACGCGCCGUGAGCCGGACUGGCGACGCCCCCCUGCCUCCACCGUGCUCCUUCACCCGAGAAAUUCAGCUCAGCCCCAGCCUCUCGGCAACCUCCCUUUGGCUCCGCCUUUUAAAGGACCUUUACGUUCUCUCAGUUUUUCAAAACCAGUCUUGAAACUGGUUUUAGGUGCAUAAACAUUUAGGACUAUUAUGUUCUCUUGGUGAGUUGACCCUUGUAUCAUUGUAAGAUGACCUUCUUUAUUUUCUCUGCAAUCUAUUUUAUCUGAUAUUAAUAUAGUCACUGUGAAUUUCUUUUAGUAUUGGCAUCAUAUGUCUUUUAACCUAUUUGUUUCUUUAUAUUUAAAGUGUGUUUCUUUUAGGCAGCAUGUAGUUGGGUCUUUUUUUAAAGAAAAUCCAAACUGACAAUCUGUGCCAUUUAAUUAAUUAAAUUACAUUUAAUGUGAUUUUAAAGAUAUGAUUAGGUGUGUCAGCACCUUGCUAUUUGUUUUCUAUUUGUCCUAUCUAUUCUUUGUUUCCUUUUCCACCUGCUUUUGGGUUGACUAUUUUUGUAUUUUUAAAAAAUUCUGCUUUAUUUUCUUAAUUGGCUUUUUGCUAUAACUCUAUUUUUUUUUUUAACAGGGUCUUGCUCUCUUGCCCAGACUGGAGUGCAGCAGCGUGAUCACAUUUCACUGCAGCCUCCAACUCCUGGUCUCAAGCAGUCCUCCCACCUCAGUUUCCCCAGUAGCUGGGAUUACAAGUAUGCUCCACCAUACCUUGCUAAUUUUUAAAUUACUUCAGAGACAGGAUCUAGCUCUGUUGCCCAGGCUGGUCUUGAACUCUUGGCCACCAGUGAUCCUCCUGCCUUGGCUUCCCAAAGUGCUGGGAUUAUAGGAGUGAGCUACCACACCUGGCCUCUAACUCUUAAUUUCAUUAUUUUAGUGGUUGCUGUAUGGUUUAUAGCAUACAUCUUAAAUUUAUCAUAGUCUAUGUAUUCAAGUUCACUAAUCAUUUUUUCUUUAAAAUCUAAUCUGCUAAUCCCUUUCAGUGUAUAAUUCAUCUCACACAUUGUAGCUUUCAUCUCUGGAUGAUCAAUUUAGGUUUUUAAUUUUAUACACCUUCUAAGUGUCUACUUAACUUUUGAACAUACAAAAUAUAGUUGUAACAAUUGUUUUACUGUCCUUGUCUGAUAAUCCUAACACCUAUGUCAGUUCUAGGUUGGCUUCCAUUGAUUUAUUUUUCUCCUCCUUAUAGGUGAUAUUUUUCUACUUCUUUGUAAGCCAGGUAAUCUUUGAUCAGGUGCCAAACAUUGUAAAUUUUACUUUGUUGGGUGCUAGAUUAUUUUGUAUUCCUUUAAUUAUGUUUGAACUUUGUUCUGGGACGCAGUUACUUGGAAAUGGUUUGAUCCUUUUGAGUUUUGUUUUAAGCUGGGCUAUAAAGGAAAUCUCAGCAAAUUUUACAGGAUUGAAAUCUCUGACAAAUUAAACUAGAAAUCAAUAACAAAAAACAACUAGAAGAUUACAAAUAUUUGGAAGUUAAGCAACACACUUGCUAAGAAUGUUCUCAUGGGCCAAAGAAGAAAUCACAGUGGAAAUAAGACAAUGUUUAAAACUAAAUGAUAACAGAGAAAUGGCGUAUCAAAAUUGUGAGUUCAUUGAAAAUGCUUACAAGGAAAAGAAAAAAAAACCUGUGGGGGUAUUUUGAUCAUUGUUCAAUGUAUAUUGGAAAAGAUGGCAUUCUGCAGCUAUUGGGUAUGAUAAUUAUAUGUCAUCUAGAUCAGUUUUGUUAAUCAUGUUAUUCAAAAUCUCCUAUAUCCUAAUGUUGAUUUCUUGUCUACUUAUUCUACCAGUUAUUGAGAGCUAUAUGUUAAAAAAUUUCCAACUAUUAUUAUGGAUUUCUCUUUUUCCUUUUAGACCUGUCAGUUAUUACUUUUAUGUUUUGAGGCUGUUUUUAAUUGCAUAUAUAGUUAGGAUUUUAUAUUUUCCUAUUAAAAUUUCCCUUUCGUUAUUAUGAAAUGUCUCUCAUUAUCUCUAGCAAUACUUUUUUCCUUAUGUUUAUGAUACCAGUACAGAUACACCAGCUUCCUUUUGGUGUUUUCAUGACUUAUUUUUUUUCUUUUUUUAAAAAAAUCGCUUUCUUUUCUUUCUUUCUUUCUUUCUUUCUUUCUUUCUUUCUUUCUUUCUUUCUUUCUUUCUCUUUCUUUUUCUUUCUUUCUUCCUUCCUUCCUUUCCUUUCUUUCCUUCUUUCUCUUUCUCUCUUCCCUUUCCCCUUCCCCUUCCCCUUCCCUUCCCUUCCCCUCCCCUUCCUCUCCCCUCCCCUCCCCUUCCUUCUUUUCUUUCUUUCCAGAGUCUCGCUCUGUUGCCCAGGCUGGAGUGCAGUGGCACAAUCUCAGCUCACUGCAACCUCCACCUCCCGGGUUCAAGUGUUUCUCAUGCCUCAGCCUCCCAAGUAGCUAGGAUAACAGGCGUGUGCCACCACACCCGGCUAAUUUUCGUAUACUUAGUAGAGAUGGGGUUUCACCAUGUUGGCCAGGCUGGUCUUGAACUCUUAACCUCAGGUGAUCCACCCACCUCAGCCUCCCAAAGUGCUAGGAUUACAGGCAUGAGCCACCACACCUGGCCAAAAAUCCCUUUAUUUCCAACCUUUAUGCAUCCUUAUGUUUAAGGUGUGUCUUCUAUAACAGCAUAUAGUUGUUUUUUUUUUCUUGUCCAGUCUGAAAAUCUUUGCCUUUAAUUGAUUUAUAUUAUGGUAAUUACUGAUACUGUAGGGUUUAAAGUAUACCAUUUUGCCAUUUUUUUCCAUUUUUCACAUCUGUUUUUUGUUUCUUUUUACCUCUUUCUUGCCUUCUUUUGGAUCAAUCAAUAUUUUCCUAAUUAUUUCAUUUUCAUCCUCUAUAAAUUAGUAGUCACGUGUUUGCUAUUAUUGUUAUUUUAUUACCCACAUAUUAUAGCAUGCAUCCUUGGCUUAAUUAGGUCACCCUUGAAUUAGUACUUUCACCCUUUUCUAAAUAACUCUAGGGACCUUAUGACACUUUAAUUCAUUUUAGCAUUCUCCUGGCUUUCAUGUUAUUGUUGUCAUGUAUUUUUUUUUUUUUUGAGACAGAGUCUUGCUAUGUUGCCCAGGCUGGCCUUCAACUCCUAGGGACAAUGGAUCUGCCCUCCUCAGCCUCCCGAGUAGCUGAGAUUACAGGAAUGUGCCACCACACCUGGCUACAGCAAGGCUUUUGACAAAAAUGGUUGAAAGAAUUCAAAACUGAGGAUCCUAGUGCUGAGGGUGGGAUAUUUUGUGUUAUUGGUCAGUAAGAAUGUCUCUUACUUGAGAUAUGAAUCCUGAAGGUGGUAAGAGUUGAUUUAUUUAGACAGAGUUAAUUUUAAUUAGUGAAAACUGAAGAACUGACUUGUAUUUUGGUCUGACGUAUGAUUGUUUCAACUUUGCUGCAGUAGCACCUACAAGAGGACCAACAUUCUCCAGGAAAUUCUGUCCUUUAAAACCAUGAGAUGAAUAAUCUUGGUCUGGAAGAUAUUCAUAGAAAGAAGCUUAGAAUGUUUGAUUUUUGAGCAUGAAUUAACUGUACAGUCAUCAAUUAAAUAAGCUGAUCCACUGAGUAAUUGUUGAGAUGAUCCUUCUGGAUGCUGAAUAAUGCUAGCCUAGAAUGGGGAUUUGACAUUGAUAUAUUCUUUCCUAUUAACAAAUCCAGUUUUCUUUCUUCCUCCCAUCCUCCCUCCUUCUUUCUUUCUUCCUUUCUUUUCCUUUCAUUUGCCUUCCUUUCCUUCCUUCCCUUCCCUUUCACAAUAUUUUACUUUAAAAAAAUUAUGAAAUCCAUCAUGUACACUUCAAUGUGUUAAAUAUAUAUGUACAUUUUAAAGAUUAAUAGUCCAGUGAACAUCUGUGUACCCACUACUCAGGGUGAGAAACAAAUAUAACGAUGGUCUCGUGUGUUCCUUGUGGGCUCUUCCCCAAUUCUUCCUUCUCCACAGAGACCACUUCCACCUGCCUUCUGUGGUAGUUAUCUUAUAAUCCUCUUCAUAAUUUCUUUCUUUUUUUUUUUUUUUGAGAUGGAGUCUCGCUCUGUCGCCCAGGCUGGAGUGCAGUGGCAUGAUCUCAGCUCACUGCAAGCUCUGCCUCCUGGGUUCAUGCCAUUCUCCUGCCUCAGCCUCCCGAGUAGCUGGGACUACAGGCACCCGCCACCACGCCUGGCUAAUAUUUGUAUUUUUAGUAGAGACUGGGUUUCACCGCAUUAGCCAGGAUGGUCUCGAUCUCCUGACCUCGUGAUCCGCCCGCCUUGGCCUCCCAAAGUGCUGGGAUUACAGGCGUGAGCCACCGUGCCUGGCCCCUCUUCAUAAUUUCUAACACCUCUGAAUUCUUCUACUGUAUAUAUAUAUAUAUAUAUACACACACACACACACACACACAAUUAUAUAUAUUUAUAUAUACAUUAUAUAUAUACAUUAUAAUGUGUAUAUAUAUAAUGCAUAUAUAUAGUAGAAGAAUUUACUUUCUAUAUAGUAAAUUUUGUGUAUACACACACAUACACAUACAAAACUGGAUCAGUAAGGAAUUUACACUUACUUCUUUAGAUGAAGACCCCCAGGAGAGGGUAAGAUGACAGAGUCUCUGGGUCAGAAGUGACCUCAUUUUCCCUGAAAGUUUACAGGGCAAAGUCACAAGUGAGUCUGUUAUGUUUGGGGUGUUUGUCCUCUUCAAAUCUCAUGUUGAAAUGUAACCGUCACUGUUAGAGGUGAGACCUGGUGGGAGGUGAUUUGAUCAUGGGGGUGGAUCCUUCACAAAUGGCUUAGCACCAUUUCUUGGUGAUGUUCUCUCCCAGUUAGUUCACAUGAGAACUGGUUGUUUAAAAGAAUCUGAGACCUCCCCCUUCUCUCUUUUGCGCCCUCUCUUCACCAUGUGAUGUGCUGGCUCCCCUUCACUUUGUGCCAUGAUUGAAAGCUUCCUGAGGCCUUCACAAGAAGCUGAUGCUGGCACCAUGCUUCCUGUACAGCCUGCAGAAACGUGAGCCAAAUCAAAGCCUGUUUUCUUUAUAAAUUACCUAGUCUCAGGUAUUUCUUUAUAGCAGCACAAGAAUGGACUAACACAGAGUCUGUGGGAAAUAGGACUCAAAAAAUUGGUGGCAGGGUGAAGUGUCACCCAAAUACUGGCCAUCAGGCAGGAAUAUGGUCAGGGGGAGUAGGCUGCUCUUAUUUUCUCACUCAAAGUUCCCACAGCCUACUUUCAGCUCUCGGGAAUGGGUGAGAACAAAACAUUUUUGUGGGAGUGAAAUAAAUAUCUUUAGAUAAUCCACGUAGGAGGGUAAGGAGGGAAUAACAGGAACUUCAUCAACACAUGAUAUAUUAAUCCAUUUUAACUAUAAAGAACUACCUGAGACUGAGUAAUUUAUGAAGAAAAGAGGUUUAAUUUCCUCACAUUUCCACAGGCUUAACAGGAAGCAUGGCUGGUAACUUACAAUUGUGGUGGAGGGGUUAGGGGAAUCAAGCAUGUCUUACCGUGGUGGAGCAGGAAAGAGCGAGAGUGAAGAGGGAAGUGCCACACACUUUUGAACAACCAGAUCUUGUGAGAACUCACUCUCACAAGAAUAGCAAGCGGGAACUCCACCCCAAUGAUUCAAUCACCUGCCACCAGGCCCCUCCCCCCACAUGUGGGGAUUACAAUUCGAAAUGAGAUUUGGGUGAGGACAGAGCCAAACCAUAUCAUUCCACCCCUGGCCCCUCCAAAAUCUCAUGUCAUCACAUUUCAAAGCCAAGCAUGCCUUCCCAACAGUCCCCCAAAGUCUUAACUCAUUCCAGCAUUAACUCAAAAGUCUAAGUCCAAAGUCUCAUCUGAGACAAGGCAAGCCCCUUCCGCCUAUGAGCCUGUAAAAUAAAAAACAAGUUAGUAACUUCCAAGAUACAAUGGAAAUACAGGAAUUAGGUAAAUGCUCCCAUUGCAAAGGGGGAAAUUGGCCAAAACCAAGGGACUACAGGUCCUAUGCAAGAUCAAAACCUGGCAAGGAAGUCAUUAAAUCUUUUUUUUUUUUUUUUUUUUUGGAGACAGAGUCUUGCUCUGUCACCCAGGGUGGAGUGCAGUGGUGCUAUCUUGGCUCACUGCAACCUCCACCUUCUGGGUUCAAGCAAUUCUCCUGCCUUAGCCUCCCGAGUAGCUGGGACUACAGGCACAUGCUGACAUGCCCAGCUAAUUUUUUGUAUUUUAUUAGAGACAGGGUUUCACCGUGUUACCCAGGCUGUUCUUGAACUCCUGAACUCAGGCAAUCCACCCAUCUCGGCCUCCCAAAGUACUAGGAUUACAGGCGUGAGCCACUGUCCCUGGCUGGAAGUCAUUAAAUCUUAAACCUCCAAAAUAAUCUCCUUUGACUCCAUGUCUCACAUCCAGGGCAUGCUGAUGCAAGAGGUGGGCUCCCAAGGCCUUGGGAAGUUUUGCCUCUGUGGCUCUGCAGGGUACAGCCCCCAUAGCUGCUUUCAUGGGCUGGCAUUGAGUGCCUGUGGCUUUUCUGGGCACAUGGUGCAAGCUGUCAGUGGAUGUACCAUUCUGGGGUUUGGAGGACGGUGGCCCUCUUCUCAUGGUUCCACUAGGCAGUGCCCUGGUGGGGACUCUGUGUCAGGGCUCCAAUCCCACACUUCCCCGCUGCACUGCCCAUGAGGGCUCUGCCCCUGCAGCUGACUUCUGCCUGGACAUCCAGGCAUUUCCAUACAUCCUCUGAAAUCUAGGUGGAGAUUCCAAAACCUCAACUCUUGCCAUCUGCACACCUGCAGGCCCAACAUCACAUGGAAGCUGCCAAAGACUUGGGGCUUGCAAUCUCUGAAGCAAUGGCCCGAGCUGUACCUUGGCCCCUUUUAGCCAUGGCUAGAGCUGGAGUGGCUGGGAUCCAGGGCAUCACGUCCCAAGGCUGCACAGAGCUGCUGGGGCCUGGGCCUGGGCCAUGAAACCAUUUUUUCCUUCUAGGUCUCUGGGCUUGUGAUGGGAGGGGCUGCCUCAGUGGUCUCUGAAAUGCCCAGGAGACAUUUUCCCCAUUGUCUUGGCUAUUUAACUCUUCUUUACUUAUGCAAACUUCUGCAGCAGGCUUGAAUUUCUCCCCAGAAAAUGGAUUUUUCUUUUCUACCACAUGGCCAGGCUGCAAAUUUUCUAAACUUAUAUGCUGUACUUCCCUUUUAAAUGUAAGUUCCAGUUUCAGAUCAUCUCUUUGUUCAUGCAUAUGAGCAUACACUUUUAGAAACAGCCAGUUUACCUCCUGAAUGCUUUGCUGCUUAGAAAUUUCUUCCAGCAGAUACCCUAAAUCAUCUCUCUCAAGUUCAAAGUUCCACAGAUCUCUAGGGCAGGGGAAAAAAUGCUACCAGUAUCUUUGCUAAAGCAUAGCAAGAGUGACCUUUACUCUAGUUCUCAAUAAGUUCCUCAUCUCCAUCUGAGACCACUUGAGUCUGGACUUCAUUGUCCAUAUCACUAUCAGCAUUCUCAUCAAAACAAUUCAACAAAUCUUCAUGAAGUUCCAAACUUUCCCACGUCUUCCUGUCUUCUUCUGAGCUUUCCGAACUGUUCCAACCUCUGCCUGUUACCCAGUUCCAAAGUUGCUUCCACAUUUUCAGAUAUCUUUAUAGCUGUUAUAAAUAAUUUUCUGUAUAGUCCAUUUUCACACUGCUAUAAAGAGCUGCCUGAGACUGAGUAAUUUGUGAAGAAAAGAGGUUUAAUUCACUCACAGUUCUGCAGGCUUAACAGGAAGCAUGGCUGGAAAGCCUCAGGAAACUUACAAUCAUGGCAGAACUUAAAGGGGAAGCAAGCGUGUCUUACCAUGGCAGAGCAGGAGAGAGAAAGAGUGAAGGGGAAGUGCCACACACUUUCAAACAACCAGAUCGCAUGAGAAUUCACUCACAGUCAAGAACAGCAAUGGGGAAGUCCAUGCCCAUGAUUCAAUCACCUCUCACCAGACCCCUCCCCUGACAUGUGGGGAUUAAAAUUCAAGAUGAGAUUUGGGUGGGGAUGCAGAGCCAAACCAUAUCACAUGGUCAACACAAGCUUCUUGGUGAUGCCCCAAACUUCAGAACCAGUUAAAGGUUUACCAUCAGCCAGAAGAGCUGUGGGAAUGAGCCUCCCAGAAAGAAGAGAUGGAAGGUGUUUGGCAUCUGCAGUGAUGAUGAUGAUGAUGAUCAUGAUCAUGAUCAUGAUGCUGGCUAAAUGCCGACUCUGAGCCCUGCAUGAUGGUAAGCAGUGUCUAUGGAUUGGCUCUUUAAUCCUCAUAACAAUGUCUAUCUAAUGUCUAUCUAGAGGUAGAUAUUAAGAUAAUGCCUAUUUUUCAAAUGAAGAAACUGAGCCUCCAAGAGAUUAAGUAACUGGCUCAAGGUCACACAGUUGGUAAAUUGAAACAUGAGUGCUUACAUGGAUGUUUUCCAGGGAUUGAGGCCGCAUUAACUGGUGGGGAGAGAAAUGAAGAGCCCAGCACAAGGGGUGGACUGAUGGGAGCAUGUUUGGGCUAGUGGGAAUAAUAAUAAAAAAUAAUAGUCAGCACUUAUUGAAUGCUUACUAAGUGGCUGGCAUUGUUCUAAGCACUUUUACAUGCAUUAACUCGAGGUGAAAUAAAACCCAAAUACACAGAACUGGCAAAUGAGGGUCCAUGCUUGAGGGUUUGGAAAGACUUGGAAAUACCCUUUGGGCACAUCAAGCAGGCAAAAAAAAAAAAAAAAAAAAAAAAAAAUCAGCUGCAUUUUGGAAGCUUCCUCUGAUCAAAGAUACCCAUUCAUCCAACAUUUAUUUAUGAAAUGCCUGUUGUUUCCCAGGCAUUGUUCUAGGCACUGAGAACAGGACAGAUUCCAGGAGAAGGAGAAGUCCAGGAACACAAAAAGAUAGAAAGAAAUACUCAGAAGUGCCAUAUUUUUUACCUUUUCAUUGAUACUACCAGAAAAGGGAAAAAAUAAAUACUGUUUGAUUUUGCCACCAGGCACCACAAAACUGCGCCCCUGCCUGAUUUCAUUUCAGCAAGCUUUACUGUGAAGUGUUUAUGUGCCAGGUACCAUGUGUAGAAGCGCUGGCCCAGAGAUGAAGAUGAAGUUUCUAUCCUUAAGGCAUGCAAUGUGGGAGAUGAACAGGUAAGUGGAUAAUUACAUUACAAGUGAUUCGUGCCAUGAUUGAGGUGUGAACAAAAUUCCACGGGAGCAAAGAAGAGUGGCUAAUUCUGCCUAGGGGUGUCAGAUAAUGUUUAAUGGAGGAAGGGGGCAUCUCAACUGGGCCUGAGGGAGGACUAGGAGAUUGCCAGGUGGAGAUGGGGAGAAAAGACCUCUAGAGAGGAGUAGUUUGUGGACAGAAUGAUCUAAUUGCAGAUACUAAGUUCUGAAAUGUGGACUGUGCAUGGACAGCCUAGUACCCUGACAAUUGUGAGGGCAGGGGAGUCCACAGAGAUUACUAAUUUAUUGAAAAAGCACUGAGGCUUGUGUUGGUGCCAGCUAAAAAGACUGAGUUGAUAAACAACCCAUCUUUGUUUCUCUAUGCAGAAAUCACCCAGACACCUGCCAUAUUUUUUCUAGCCUAUGUUUAAGUUAAGGUGUCAAAAAGACUUGAAGUGCUCCUGUACACAUUUGGGGAGGGGAGUAUAUUGGUACAACCCCUGUGGAAGGCAGAUUGGCAACAUCUGCCAGAAUUACAAAGGCAUAUAGCUUGUGACCCAGCAAGUUCACUUCUAGGAAUUUAUCCUUGGAUGCACUCAGUCACAUGUAAAAUAACUUAUGUACGAGUAUUCAUCACAUCAUUGUAACAGCAAAAGAUUGGAAAAAAAGUAAGUGCUCAUUACAAGGGAAUUGGUUAAGUACAUUAUGAUAUCUCUUUAAAAUGGAACACUAUUCAAUCUAAAAACAAUAAGGUAGCUCUUUCCAUCCUGUUGGAAAUGAUUUCAAGGAUAUAUUGUCAAAUGAAAAAAGCAAGGGCAGAACCACACAUAUAAAACAGGGAUGGAAAGAAUUCAAGUCCUCCACGGAGUAUGCAAACUGCUCAAUUAAAAGUCCCUGGGUUGCCCUACCUCCAGCCUCCUUGUGAUGUGUGAUGCAAAACUCACUGUUUAAGCCAGUUGAGAAGGAGUUUUCUGGUUUUGUAGCCAAAAACAUCCAGACGCAGAACUCUAAGGUCGGGAGGCCUUUGUGUUUGGACCUAGAAAAAUGCAGAGGCAGGAGGUAAAUCUUUGACUUACAGAAAUUCCCCCGUGUACUCCGUAUUAACUCUAGUGGGCACUCUCAAGUGCUUUCCCCUCUAGAAAUUCCAAGCCCUGAAUUGCAGAGCAGCCAGGCAUUCACAUGAUGCAGCCGUGGGGCUUUCUAUGUAGAGAUGCAAUUUGGCAGGAUUCAACCUGCCUGACUUCUUUUUUUGUAAAUACAACCUCAUCAGAGCAACAAGCUAAAAGCCUGGCAGAAUCUAUUUGCAGUCAGGGAGCAAGAGUGCAAUGCAAUGAAUGUUAGAAUCAAGCCUUAUGAGGUGGAACUUGAACAACUCGCUCUGUCCACAGGAGGCCCUAGAUAGCCCAGAGUCUCUACAGUGACUAAAAACAGAUCUCUGGAUCAAGCCAUGUAGUCUGAGACUUUGUCCACAUAGCUGAAAUUGUCCUGUCAGUAUCAUCCAGACAAUUUUAAGGAGUCUUUGUCCAUUCAUUCAAGAAAAACAAAUAUUUGUCCCCGGCACUCUGCUAGGUGCUAGGGAUACAACAAUGAGCAAAACCAAGAUGAUCUGUCCUUUAUUGACUUACUGUCUAGAGAAAGAGAUGGUAAUUAGUUAAAUGGUUAUUAAAUAGGUAUACAAUUAUAACUGAGUGGAAUGUUAUAGAGGAAAGAUUCAUGGCAGAUCAGAGGCAAAAAAAAAUACAUACAUUAGAAUGGAAUCAGAGAAGCCCUGCCGGAGAAAAUGACAGCUGAGCUGACAUCUGAAGAAUGAGUAGGAGUUAACUAGGUGAUACAGGAGAAGAGCGUUCCAGGCAGAAGGAAUGUUUCAUGCAAAGGCCCUGGGGUGGGAGGGAGCAUGGAACACUCAAGGAACUGAAAGGUCACCAUGUGGUUGGAGGGCAGAGAGUGGGGGGAGUGUGCUGGGAGGGGAGGCUGGAGCAGCAAGCAGGCGCCAGGCAGGGCAAAGCCACGGAGGAGAUAGAAAGUAUUUCUGUAAGAGCAACAGAAAAUCAUUUGUGGUACAGAGUGUCAGUUGUCCCCCAAUAUUCACUUCCCCCCUUUAUUCCUUUAAUAUUGGAACCCCUAAGUUUAGGCUCAGCAUGCGGCUAUCCAAUUAAAAAUCACUUCCCAGACUCCUUUGCAUAUAAGCUUUUCCAUGUGACCAAAACAACCUAGCCAAUUGCUCUGGCCAAUGGGCUGUGAGAAGUAAGUGCAGGCUUCCAUUUCCUCCUAUUCUCCUCUCACUGGCUCCAGUGCAGUCAUGAUGGUGGGGGCUGGAGGAGCCAUCCUAGGCCAGGAGAUGGAAGCCAUAUGUUGAGGAUGGCAAGGCAACAAAAUAGAGGGAAACUGGAUCCCCUCACCAUGGAACAGUCAUUGCAGCCCUGGACUAUUAAACUCAGACCACAUGUGACAAACUGAUACACUUCUAGCUGCUGUAUGGAGGGUAAAAGCAGUAGGCUCAAUCUGGAGCUAUUGCCGCUACCCAUUGAGGAGGAUGGUGCCUUGAACCUACCUGCAAAGUAGCCAUGAAGAUGGGACCGGACCCCAAUAGAACAUCCUUUGCCUCAUAUAGUGGAAAUAGCACAAACUCUGGCCUCAGUGAGAGCCAAGUUCUGCUUUUGAGUUCAUUACCUUUUUGCUGAGUGACCUUGAACAAGUUACUAAGCAUCUCUAAGUCUCAUUUAUAAACCCAAAUUAAGGUUCUUUUUUGGGGGUGUGAUGACUAAUUUUGAGAUGGCCUUCAGACAAACUCCAACACUGGCUUUUUCGUGGGUCCCCAGGCUGAUGGUCUGCUCUGGAGAUUGUGGACUUGCCAGCCUCUGUAAUUACAUGAGCCAAUCCCUUAAAAUAAAUCUCUCUUUCCAAAUAUGAUACAUACACAUUUACACAUCCUAUUGAUUCUGUGUUUCUGGAGAAUCUUGACUAACAUGGGGGUUAACUUCCUAUUAAUUUAUAUACAUAGAACAAACUGCACACACAUGAAGGGCACAGCUCAGUGAACCUUUACAAAGUGAACACAACCACCAUUUACAAGAAUAUCUGGAAUAUUAGAAUUCUGUGAAGAAAGUUAUAGCAGUGGUGUAAUGUGUUACUCUAAAUCCCUACAUUGGCUGGGUGCAGUGGCUCACACCUGGCAGGCAAAGGCGGGCAGAUCACCUGAGGUCAGGAGUUCAAGGCCAGCCUGGGCAACAUAGCGAGAUCCCAUUUUUGUGAAAAAUUUGAAAAAAAUAGCCAGGCAUGGUGGCAUGCGCCUGUGAUCUCAGCUACUUGGGAGCCUGAGGUGGGAGGAUUGCUUGAGCCCAAGAGAUCAAGCCUUCAGUGAGUUAUGAUGGCACACCUUCACUCCAGCCUGGGCAACAGAGAGAGACCCGGUCUCAAAAAAGAAGAAGAAGAAAAAAAAACCUCUGGAACCAUAACUAUUUAAAAAGAGCGGGUGUGGUGACUCAUGCCUGUAAACCCAGCACUUUGGGAAGCUGAGGCGGGUGGAUCAUGAAGUCAAGAGAUCAAGACCAUCCUGGUCAACAUGGUGAAACCCUGUCUCUACUAAAAAUACAAAAAUUAGCUGGGCAUGGUGGCGGGCGCCUGUAGUCCCAGCUACUCAGGAGGCUGAGGCAGGAGAAUCACUUGAACCCGGGAGGCGGAGGUUGCAGUGAGCCGAGGUCAUGCCACUGUACUCCAGCCUGGCGACAGAGCGAAACUCCAUCUCAAAAAA
rnacentral:lncRNA from 1 species